rnacentral:lncRNA from 1 species
AUGGCCCAGCAUCGGAAUGUUCGAGGCUGUGACUGCGAUGAAGAUCUUGAAGAUGAUGAUCACCAUGGCCAGUCUGUAGAGGAUGAUUCUUGUAUUUUGCUAUCAACAGCUGCUCAGUUUAUUUAUUCACAGCGUGACAAACCUUCCGUUGAGCCUAUAGAAGAAUACGAUCAUGAAGAUCUGAAAGAAUCUUUCAAUUAUGUUUCGAACCAUCAGCUCAGUGGAUUUAAUCAAGCUCGUUUUUAUUCAUGCCUUGAUCACAUGAGAGAAAGUACUUGGAGAUGCUGUGCCAGAUGAAAUAUUGAUUGAAUCAGUUCUGAAGAACAAGUUUGAUGUGCAGAAGCCUUUGUCAGAGGUUCUGGAACAAGAUAGCAUGUAGAAUUUGAAGGACAAGAAUGAGGGAAGAGUAUCUACAGGAAAGAUAGCAAAAGGUAAGGAGUCUUAUUUUCUUCUUCUGAAGUUUCAGCUGAUAAUGUUCAAAGUUCUUAUCCUCAGUUAGCAAAUCAUUUGGAUUAUAGUAGCAAACCCUUUGAUUUUUCUAGCUCAGUAGGAAAAUAUGGAUUAUCUCAUAAUUCUUCAGUUCCAAGUCACUGUUUACUCCAUAGGAAAAAGAAACUUGACAGACUUAAAAGUGAAAAGAAACCAGAAUCAUGUAGGUUAACAAAAGAACUUUCACUAGCUAACUUAAUUCCUGAUAUGUCAAGAGAUUCCUGUGAAAGUCAGCCAUCAGUCAGAUUGUCAUCUACAGACAGUCUGGAAAGUCUGCUUUCAAAGAACCUAGAUGCUGAUUUGUUGAGACUUCAUCCAUCUGAAUGUGCUUCCAAAGAUGAUUCUGCAUUCAAAGAAAUACCAGAUUUAAAGUCCAUAAUGAUAAAGAGCACAACACUGAAUAAUUCUUCAUAUAUUCAAAGUAAUUCACUAUCUGAUUUUUAAAACAUUCCAGUACAGGACAGUUUAGGAAGUUCAGAUAAUCCUUUGUGCUUAACUAGCUUGUUGGAAAAUAUGACUGUUGAUAAUUUAAAUGCUAGUAAAGAAACUGAAGUUGGAAGUGUUUCUUUAGUUGAACAAAGUGCCAAGAAUUACAUUUUUAAAAAUGAUAAUUUGCAGUUUUCCCAGUGUGAAAGUCCAUCCCUAACUGAACUGUUUCGGGAACACAAAGAAAACAAUAUAAGCCAGUGCUUUACUUUGUCUGACCUUUGUAACCAGUCAUCUGUCAGUUUCACAGAUCUAAGUUUGGGAUCCUUUCCCCUGUCACAAUUAGCAAAUCACUGUCAGUCUUCACCAGGAAUAUCAGAAUUAACAGGAUCUAUGUUGUCAUUGGCAUUUCCUAAAGCUUCUCCCACAAGAGACCUUGAGAAUUUGUCACUUUCUGAAUUGAUUGCAGAAACAAUUGAUGUAUACAACUCUCAGAUUAAGAAAGAGUCCUUUGAGGUCAGUUUAUCUGAAGUGAGGUCUCCUGGAAUAGAUUCAAAUAUUGAUCUUAGGGUCCUUAUAAAAAAAACCCAGAUUUUCUUCCAAAGCCUAUAGUAGACCAAUCCAUUGCUCCUUCAUCACGAACUAAAGUUCUAAGUUCAAAGCUAGGGAAGAAAUCCAAUUUUGCUAAGGAUAAUGAGAAAAACAAUAAAGGCUGUCUGACUAGGAAACCACCUUUUUCUCUGUCUCGGACCAAGGCCGUUGCUGCUAGACCUUCAGCUUUUGCCUCAACACUGUGUCUUCGUUACCCACUAAAAAGCUGCAAGCGACGCACCCUUGACCUCUGUAAGACUUUUCUUUAUAGUAGACAAGUUCAAGAUGUAAAGGACAAAGAAAUAAGUCCUCUUGUAGCGAUAAUACCAUUUGACUUCAAAUCAGCAUCACCUGAUGACAUUGUAAAAGCUAAUAAAAAAAAAGCAUUUACUAG